AUUUCUACUUAUGAACUAUGAAAGUCCUAAGCUUUAGAGUUCUGCUGGUUCUUUCACAUUGGUCUGUUUGCUGGGCCAAUGUUAUCCAGCUACCUAUGAUGGAGGAAAUCUCUGGGGCUAAUGUUACUAUCCCAUGUAACCAUAGCUCCAUCAAUUCUGGUGAUUAUAUUGACUGGUACAAAAACACUCCUGACCAAGGACUUCAGUUAUUAAUUGGUGGAUUUAAGAAUACAGCCUCUGACUUGCGCACAUUGAUCUUCAGCAAAGACAGAAAGUCCAGUGAGCUCCACAUACAGAAUAUCACACCGGAGGAGAGCGGAGUAUAUCUAUGUGCUCUGCGGGACACAGCUCUGCAACUGAACACACUCUUUGUACAAUAAGCAAAUGCAGUGUUUGGUAUACAGGUGUUAGGGAAAGAACAUACAAUACUGCUUAUAAACACAUAAAUGAACACAUGAAAAAUAUGUUAGUUACUUGGUGUAAGAGAAUAGAUUCCCAUGUCACUGUUUAAGUCUCUUUUUCCUACUAGAAUGCUGUAUAUACGUUGCUGUUAAAAAUUGUUGUGUUGUUAUUGUUUCAAAUGGAUGAUUUUUGGCUAAAGUGCAUGAACAUUUUAUAUAAAACUUUAUAGUGUUACAUGUGUUGUAAUAUUCAGGUUUGAUGGGGGUAUAUAGAACUGAAAUACUGUAAAAUGAAAAUGAUAGAUUUAUUUGUAAAGUUCAUGAAAACAAGUCGCAAGAUAAAAAUAAAUUUCUCCCACAGAUCAAAAUUCUAUUUUUUACUGGCAUUUUCUCACUACCUGUACAACAAUUUGGGCAACAUUAAAAAAAAAAAAAAAAACAUUCAUGCCAGGUUUUUUAAGUUGUCAAAUUAAUACAAUUAUACUUUAAGGACUGAAUACAUGU